UUCCCACUGAACUUUCCACUCCAAUGUCGUGGAGUGUUGACAUCUUAACUGAGACAAUCAAGCAACUUGCUCCUGGCACAAGUUGGAGGAAAGUAAUCGAGAAUCUUGACCAUAGUGGAUUUGAGAUCCCCAAUAAGGAAUCUUUCUCGUUUUUCAUGCGGCUAUAUAAAACUGCUUGCAAGGACCCGUUUCCUCUUGAUGCUGUAUGCGGUUCUGUCUGGAAAAAUGUGGAAGGUCAAAUAUCGUUUC